GGCCAUGUCUCCAGAUGGGGAGGUGAUAGUGACAGGGGCCGGAGGGAAAGACGAGACCCUUUGCUUCUGGAAACUUUUUAGCAACACAAGGUCAACAAAGGACCUGGUAUCAAAUCUAAACCUUUUCACCAGAAUGCGAUGAUGUCACAUCAGAAUCUGACAUCAGGAUUUUUAAGUGGAUCCUCGUCACUAGUGACUGUGGAGUUAAGGACGACAUGGGAGUAAAUCUAGAUUUUUGAAUUUAAGAACAAAAGAUAUCUUUUUUUGACUAUGCGGGGAAAAAUCUUUCUGACAUUUAAUCAUACAAUGAUCUGUGUAAUUUCACUUAUCACCAAAUCUAACAUAUGCACUCAACACCUGGUGUUUAUUUUAACUAAAAUUAACUUUAUUGCACUUUAAAUUUAUUAAUAUUACAUUUUUUAACCAUGCUAUUUGCCUCACAUUACAUCUUUCUGUCCAGGCAGUCACACCUCUCCAUUAUCCCUUGGUUGGUUUGAGGGAAAUUCAAAGAAUUUUUAAAAUAUGUUGCCGUGUUCUUCAAGUUUGCACUUCUGGUAAUUCAGUGUUCAUGUUUAUAUACUUAGUGUUUAACUGUUCAUCAGAACAAACUGCACAACUGCAUCUAAAAUGGUCACUGCUGAAAUCAAAUAAAGCUUUACCAAACAGUA